rnacentral:rRNA from 1 species
GAUGAACGCUAGCGGCAGGCUUAAUACAUGCAAGUCGAGCGAAGUGGCAGCUGUAGCAAUACAGUAUGUGCUUAGCGGCAGACGGGUGAGUAACACGUAGAGAACUUACCUCUUAGCGGGGGAUAGCCCGCCGAAAGGCGGGGUAAUACCGCGUACGAUCGCGAUCCGGCAUCGGGAUGCGAUGAAACAUCCGCAAGGAUGACUGAGAGAGAGCUCUGCGGCCUAUCAGCUAGUUGGUGAGGUAACGGCUCACCAAGGCAACGACGGGUAUCCGACCUGAAAGGGUGAUCGGACACACUGACACUGAGACACGGGUCAGACUCCUACGGGAGGCAGCAGUGAGGAAUUUUGGACAAUGGGGAAACCCUGAUCCAGCGACGCCGCGUGAAGGAUGACU